rnacentral:piRNA from 3 species
UACGUAGCAGAGCAGCUCCCUCGC